CCUACGGGUGGCAGCAGUGAGGAAUAUUGGUCAAUGGGCGGAAGCCUGAACCAGCCAAGUCGCGUGAGGGAAUAAGGCCCUACGGGUCGUAAACCUCUUUUGCCGGGGAGCAAGGGCGGGGACGUGUCCCGGCUCGGAGAGUACCCGGAGAAAAAGCAUGGGCUAACUCCUUGCCAGCAGCCCGGGUAAUACGGGGGGUGCAAGCGUUUUCGGGAUUUUUGGGGUUAAAGGGGGGCGAAGACGGGCGUUUAAUUCAGGGGGAAAAAUUGGGGGCCAAACCCCGUCCUGCCGCUGAAACUGGGGGCCUUGAGUGGGCGAGAAGUAGGCGGAAUGCGUGGUGUAGCGGUGAAAUGCAUAGAUAUCACGCAGAACCCCGAUUGCGAAGGCAGCCUUCC
rnacentral:rRNA from 1 species